CCCUUAGAUGUUCUGGGCCGCACGCGCGCUACACUGAUGCAUUCAACGAGCCUAUCCUUGACCGACAGGUCCGGGUAAUCUUUGAAUCUGCAUCGUGACGGGGAUAGAUUAUUGUAAUUAUUAAUCGUCAACGAGGAAUUCCUAGUAAGUGUGAAUCAUCAGUUCGCGCUGAUUACGUCCCUGCCCUUUGUACACACCGCCCGUCGCUGCUACCGAUUGAGUGGUCCGGUGAAUUAUUCGGACCGGUGGACUGUGGGGUAACUCGCGGUCUGCUGGGAAGUCUUGUGAACCUUAUCACUUAGAGGAAGCAGAAGUCGUAACA
rnacentral:rRNA from 1 species